CUCCGGCCGGCACCCUAGGCCGGCCCGCCGCCAGCUGUCGCCGACAUGGAACCCGUGGCCAGCAACAUCCAGGUCCUGCUGCAGGCGGCCGAGUUCCUGGAGCGCCGUGAGAGAGAGGCCGAGCAUGGUUAUGCGUCCUUGUGCCCGCAUCGCAGUCCAGGCCCCAUCCACAGGAGGAAGAAGCGACCCCCCCAGGCUCCUGGCGCGCAGGACAGCGGGCGGUGAGGAGGCCCGGGGCGGCGGGAGUGGGGGUGGGGGUGGGGGUGGGCGCCGCCCCUGGUCGGGCCCUCCUCUGCCCACUUGUUGCUUGCAUCUUUUGGGCCAGGUGUCUUGCUCCAGGAAGCGUUCAGACCCCUCCUGCCAUCUCCCCACUCUCCAAACACACUCACACCUUUCUAUUCAUUCAAGGACUAUUUCUUGAGCACCUCUAGAUGUGCCAGGAACUGCGAACAGCAGUUGGGGUCCCGCUUCCACUCGCACUCCCGCACUCCACACAUCAGGCCAGUCACCUCCCCCGCUGGCUUCCUCCUUUUCUCUCCUCUCCCCAGCCCUUUGCAUAUGCUGUUCCCUCCUAUUUGAAUGCCUCUCCCUCCACUACCGUCUUGGGAAACAUCUAUUUCUGCAUUUAGCUGUCACCUCUGUCUGGGAAGUCCUUCCUGACCAGCUGGCAGGGGCCCUCGUUAGGACCCCCAUACCCACCUGGGCAGGCUUCUGUUAAGCAUUUGGCUCCGUGUGUCUUUGACUCCCCUCGCCCUGCCAGGGGACUCUGGUGUCUGAGGCCAGCAUGAGGUCUCCAUAGGGGACUUGUUUGGGGCAGACAUCUGUAGUGGCUCUUGAGCCACUGGGGGCCCUGGGAUUGGGGCAUGGGCAGUGGCUGAUUCCCCUUCACCCCGUCCUCUCUGGCAUUGGCAGGUCAGUGCACAAUGAACUGGAGAAGCGCAGGUGAGUCCCAGUCCUUCCGUGGCCAGAGGCCACCGCCCUCUGGCCUUCCCUCCUCUGCCAUUCCUGCGGCCAGCAAGGUGGGGCUGGCACUGCCCUCCAGACCUCUUCCCCACAGGAGGGCCCAGUUGAAGCGGUGCCUGGAGCGGCUGAAGCAGCAGAUGCCUCUGGGGGCCGACUGUGCCAGAUACACCACGCUGAGCCUGCUGCGCCGCGCCAGGAUGCACAUCCAGAAGCUGGAGGAUCAGGAGCAGCGGGCCCGACAGCUCAAGGAGAGGCUGCGCAGCAAGCAGAAGAGCCUGCAGCGGCAGCUGGAGCAGCUCCGGGGGCUGGCAGGGGCCGCCGAGCGGGAGCGGCUGCGGGCGGACAGCCUGGACUCCUCAGGCCUCUCCUCUGAGCGCUCAGACUCAGACCAAGGUGAGUGCCCUGAGGCUGAGGGGUUGUGUGGCCCUCGGGGCGAGCCAGGUCUUCUGAUUGGACCCCUCCCCGCGCAGAGGAGCUGGAGGUGGAUGUGGAGAGCCUGGUGUUUGGGGGUGAGGCCGAGCUGCUGCGGGGCUUCGUCGCCGGCCAGGAGCACAGCUAUUCGCACGGCGGCGGCGCCUGGCUAUGAUGUUCCUCACCCAGGGCGGUCCUCUGCCCUCUGCUCAUGCCAGGCCCACUUGCCAGGCAGGAGCCCUCCCCAAGCCUUCAGGGCUGCUUGGAGUCACCUGUUGGAAUGGACUAAAAGGACCCUUGUGUGGGAACAGGUGCUCCCCAAACACCCUGCUGCUGGCUGCCAGGCAGGCCCUCUGGAAGGGAAGGGGCAGGACUCAUCAGGACCUCCCUGGACCCCUGUAGGACAGACAGCUUGGGCCUGAGCCCAAGCAUUUGGCUCUGCUGCUCCCAAGGGGACAGGAAGCCUCUUGGGCCUCUUCCCUUCCUAGACAAGGCCCUCUAGCCUUUGCCUCACAUAAACUGUACAGUAUUUUCAUUAAAAGCCUCUUUCAUAACU
rnacentral:sRNA from 1 species